AUCACAUCCAGCUGUUUGGGAGUCCGAUAGGGCGGUGCAAAAUUGGCACGGGUUUGCCGGGGUAGGCCAUCCUUGUAAAUAAGAGUUCUUAACUGACUUGCCUAGUUAAAAUAAAGACCGUGAGUCCAAUCAAUCAAAUGUAUUUAUAAAGCCCUUUUACAUCAGCAGAUGUCACAAAGUGCUGUACAGAAACCCAGCCUAAAACCCCAAACAGCAAGCAAUGCAGGUGUAGAAGCAUGGUGGCUAGGAAAAGCUCCCUAGAAAGGCAGAAACCUAGAGAGGAACCAGGCUUUGAGGGGUGGCCAGUCCUCUUCUGGGUGUGCCAGGUGAGGAGAAUACAUGGCCAUUUAAGGCCAGAUUGUUCUUCAAGAUGUUCAAAUGUUCAUAGAAUACCAGCGGGGUCAAAUAAUAAUCAGUGGGUGCAACAGGUCAGCACCUCAGAAGUAAAUGUCAGAUGGCUUUUCAUAGCCGACAAUUCAGAGGUUGAGACAGCGGGUAGAGAGUCGAAAACAGCAGGUCCGGGUCAAGGUAGCACGUCCGGUGAACUUGUCAGGGUUCCCCAACCGCAGGCAGAACCAUUGAAACUGGAGCAGCAGCAUGACCAGGUGGACUGGGGACAGCCAGAAUUCAUUCAAAAUUAUAUUGUGCCUAUCUUUCAGCUCUGCCAACCAGGCUCGGUGGGUGACAGGUAAGUGUUUCCACCAAGCUGUUCAAUGCCUGGAGUGGCACGCUGGAACUUCCAGAGGCUUGUAGACCUGAAGCAGUGUGAUGUGAUACAGGUAAGUAUCACACACACACUCAAUCACUUACUCAGUUUUGUUGUAAUAAUUAUUUUAACUUAAGAAAAUUGUCCCUCUCACUUUUAGCUCAACCACAGUCUUCACAGCUGGAGUCGUGUGCCCUGCAACUGCUAAACUGGCCAUGAAAGGUGAUACAGAUCUGCCACCAGGUUUUCAGCUGCAGUCACUAGUCCUCUGCUGUGGUAUUUAAUUUACCGGCUGCACCAGUUCUUACUACACUGGCCACGGUGAGGAAUACCCAGAUGGAUACAGAUCUGCCAUGCACUCCACCACUGCCCGACAGCCUCACCCAGAAGGGAAAUACACUGGGCCUAUCGAGACUGACAAAGCAGAGAUGGGUGGCUAACUAGAGAAAAUAAAACGUAUACACUCUCAC
ensembl:lncRNA